CAGAAGAGGACAGUGGAACUCCAUGUGUAGCGGUGGAAUGCGUAGAUAUAUGGAAGAACACCAGUGGCGAAGGCGGCUGUCUAGUCUGUAACUGACGCUGAGGCUCGAAAGCAUGGGUAGCGAACAGGAUUAGAUACCCUGGUAGUCCAUGCCGUAAACGAUGAGUGCUAAGUGUUGGAGGGUUUCCGCCCUUCAGUGCUGCAGCUAACGCAUUAAGCACUCCGCCUGGGGAGUACGACCGCAAGGUUGAAACUCAAAGGAAUUGACGGGGGCCCGCACAAGCGGUGGAGCAUGUGGUUUAAUUCGAAGCUACGCGAAGAACCUUACCAGGUCUUGACAUCUUCUGCCAAUCUUAGAGAUAAGACGUUCCCUUCGGGGACAGAAUGACAGGUGGUGCAUGGUUGUCGUCAGCUCGUGUCGUGAGAUGUUGGGUUAAGUCCCGCAACGAGCGCAACCCUUAUUAUCAGUUGCCAGCAUUCAGUUGGGCACUCUGGUGAGACUGCCGGUGACAAACCGGAGGAAGGUGGGGAUGACGUCAAAUCAUCAUGCCCCUUAUGACCUGGGCUACACACGUGCUACAAUGGACGGUACAACGAGUCGCAAAGUCGUGAGGCUAAGCUAAUCUCUUAAAGCCGUUCUCAGUUCGGAUUGUAGGCUGCAACUCGCCUACAUGAAGUUGGAAUCGCUAGUAAUCGCGGAUCAGCAUGCCGCGGUGAAUACGUUCCCGGGCCUUGUACACACCGCCCGUCACACCAUGAGAGUUUGUAACACCCAAAGCCAGUGAGAUAACCUUCGGGAGUCAGCCGUCUAAGGUGGGACAGAUGAUUAGGGUGAAGUCGUAACAAGGUAGCCGUA
rnacentral:rRNA from 1 species